CAGCAGAAUGAUAGUUUAAACAGAACCGA
rnacentral:sRNA from 1 species